ACAAAGGGCAGCAAGUUCGCGAGGACAAGCAAAUCCCAUAAACCGUGGCUCAGUUCAGAUCGUAGGCUGCAACUCGCCUACGUGAAGGCGGAAUCGCUAGUAAUCGCAGGUCAGCAUACUGCGGUGAAUACGUUCCCGGGCCUUGUACACACCGCCCGUCACACCAUGGAAGUUGGCCACGCCCGAAGCCGUUACUCCAACCCUUGUGGAGGAGGACGUCGAAGGUGGGGCUGAUGACUGGGGUGAAGUCGUAACAAGGUAUCCGUACCGGAAGGUGCGGAUGGAUCACCUCCUAAC
rnacentral:rRNA from 1 species